rnacentral:rRNA from 1 species
GGGCCCGCACAAGCAGUGGAGUAUGUGGUUUAAUUCGAAGCAACGCGAAGAACCUUACCAGGUCUUGACAUCCAACUAAUCCUGUAGAGAUACGGGAGUGCCCUUCGGGGAAAGUUGAGACAGGUGGUGCAUGGUUGUCGUCAGCUCGUGUCGUGAGAUGUUGGGUUAAGUCCCGCAACGAGCGCAACCCUUGUGAUUAGUUGCUACGCAAGAGCACUCUAAUCAGACUGCCGUUGACAAAACGGAGGAAGGUGGGGACGACGUCAAAUCAUCAUGCCCCUUAUGAUCUGGGCUACACACGUACUACAAUGGCCAUCAACAGAGGGAAGCAAAACCGCGAGGCAGAGCAAACCCCUAAAAAUGGUCUCAGUUCGGAUCGCAGGCUGAAACCCGCCUGCGUGAAGCUGGAAUUGCUAGUAAUCGCGGAUCAUCAUGCCGCGGUGAAUACGUUCCCGGGCCUU